rnacentral:rRNA from 1 species
GUGGGGAAUUUUGGACAAUGGGCGAAAGCCUGAUCCAGCCAUGCCGCGUGCAGGAAGAAGGCCUUCGGGUUGUAAACUGCUUUUGUACGGAACGAAACGGUCCGGGUUAAUACCCUGGGCUAAUGACGGUACCGUAAGAAUAAGCACCGGCUAACUACGUGCCAGCAGCCGCGGUAAUACGUAGGGUGCAAGCGUUAAUCGGAAUUACUGGGCGUAAAGCGUGCGCAGGCGGUUUUGUAAGACAGGCGUGAAAUCCCCGGGCUCAACCUGGGAACUGCCUCCAAAACUGUAUGACUAGAGUACGGUAGAGGGUAGUGGAAUUUCCUGUGUAGCGGUGAAAUGCGUAGAUAUAGGAAGGAACACCAGUGGCGAAGGCGGCCAUCUGGACCAGCACUGACACUGAGGCACGAAAGCGUGGGGAGCAAACAGGAUUAGAAACCCCGGUAGUCC